rnacentral:rRNA from 1 species
GCUAAUACCGCAUACGACCUACCGGUGAAAGCAGGGGAUCUUCGGACCUUGCGCGAUUGAAUGAGCCGAUGUCGGAUUAGCUAGUUGGCGGGGUAAAGGCCCACCAAGGCAACGAUCCGUAGCUGGUCUGAGAGGAUGAUCAGCCACACUGGAACUGAGACACGGUCCAGACUCCUACGGGAGGCAGCAGUGGGGAAUAUUGGACAAUGGGCGCAAGCCUGAUCCAGCCAUACCGCGUGGGUGAAGAAGGCCUUCGGGUUGUAAAGCCCUUUUGUUGG